AGCCUCUCUCCUUUAUAAACUACCCGAUCUUGGGUAUUUCUUCUUAGCAGUGUGAGAACGGACUAAUGCAUCAAGGUUUUCAAAAGAGCUCUACCCACAGAUCUUUUAAAUUCCAUUCUUUUCCUUUGGCUUCAUAAAUGAGUGAGCUUUCUUAAGGCUUAUUAUCAAGAGUGGCUUUCAAGUUUUAGGAGCACAUUAGGUCUCUGAAGCCUUGUAAAUUUCUUUUAAGUCACAUGAAAAAGAUCUUUACUUCCAAGGAGACACCUGGCUAUGCCGGGGCCUUUGGGUUUGCAGGGCUCAUCCUGCACUUUUGGGGUGAGUGAGAAAAUGAUGCUCACCUCCUGGCUGCUUCAGCCUCCAAGUGUCCAACGCUUAAAUGAACAGACGGGGUCCUCCCUCUCAGGCCUCAUUAUUGAGGGCAAACUAUCCCCCGUGACAGAGGCGGGCAAAGGACAUUGUGAGCUUAUUCAGCCCUGCAGAGGCGACACGCUGGGGAUGUUCUCUUCCUAAGGCCAGAGAUGCUUCUGAGGAUGAUGAGCUGAUGCAGGCAGGGGUGGCUACUCUGCGCAGAGGGCAGAAUAGUGCCGGCCCCCGGGAUGGGCGAGAGGAGGGAGCAUCCAGGAGCUGGGCCUGCAAAGGGAGGGACGGAGAGGCCCUGGGCCAUGCUGAGGGUUUGAACUUGAUCCUGAGGCCAUAGGGGGCCGCAGGAGGGCUUUACACAGAACAUAAUUAUAUGGUAAGAUGUAACCGUCAGAAAGUUAUAGACGGCUGGGGUAACUACACGGAUGGCAACAGACAAGAAGCUGGAAGCUGCUGGGAAGCUUUUGGGUGAUCUGGGUGAGGAGGGAAGGGUGCUGUGCCAAGGAUGGGGGAGGACAGCCGCCACUGGGGUGGAGAUGCAGGACUUGGGACUGGCUGGGGGGCAGUGAGUCAGGAUGGCCCACCCCUGGCCUGGCCACCAGGAGCACGGGGGUGCCAUCCAGGAGUGAGACAUGCGGACAAGGGGCAAGCCUGGAGGGAGAGAUGAGUGCAGCUUUGUUUUUAAAAAUUUUUUGUAAAAUACACGUAAGAAAAUUUACCAUCUGAAUCAUUUUUAGCUCUACAGUUGAGUCUACUCGCAUCGUUCUGCACCGGCUGUCUAGGGCUUUCUUGUCGCGAAAGUAAGCCCUGUCCUCCUUCAACACUAACUCCUCAUUCCCCUCUGCCAGCCCUGACACCCACCCUGACACCCACCCUUCUACUUCCUGUCUCCGUGGGUUUACUGUUCGGGGGGUAUGCAGUGGGAUCGCACAGUGCUUGUCCUGUGGCUGGCUCCCCCGCCCGGCGUAAUAACUCCAAGCCUCUUCCGUGUUGUGACGUGCGUCCGAAUUGCCUUCCUUUUUGAGGCUGAAUAAUCUGUUGUCCUGCAUGGGUGGGGCACACUGCAUUUGUCCCUCAUUGGCUGACGGACACGUGGGUUGCCUCCACCCUUGGCUGUUGUGGGGUGCUGCUGUGAUGUGGCUGUGCAAACUCCUCGAGUCCUUGCUUUCAGUCUUGUGGGGGGAGAGACCCACAGUGGAACUGAGGGGUCACGUGGCGCUUCUGUUUCUAAGUUUUGUGGAAACCACCGCCCUGGGCCUAGUUUCUGACGUGUGAAGCUGAGGUCUCUGUGGAUGCCACGUAUGAGUGUGGAGCUGAGAGACUGGCAUGAGCAGGAAGAAUGGGGGCAGGGCCUGGGUGAUGUCACUGUUUAUGGGGAGAUCCCCCCUUGGCCCUGCCCUGGGCCCUUUCAGCUUUCACUUGUCUCCUGGACUCUUGGCCCCCCAAGUCACACCAGACACCACCGAGGUGAUCUGGUCUUGGGACCCCUGGGGCACAGCACACAGCUUGUGCCUCAGGCCCCAGGUGCUGGCUGCUUCUGCCCUGGGCUCGCUGCUGCUGCUGUGGAUUUGGGACGCGCCCAGCACCUAGUGCUGCUACAGAAGAGUCCUAGGAGCAGGCCUUGGACUGAGGAUGGCACUUUGGUCGGACCCUUUCAAUAUCAAACACUGAUCAAUUGUAAUGAACGGCACUGUUCCCACACAUGACCUCUAAUGACUGCUGAGUUCUUAUGAGGAGUGCCUCGUGCUUUGCAGCAUCUAACGUCUCGAUAGUGACCUGCUAGUGCCCGUCCAGCCCGUCAGCAGAUCACGGUCACAAACCCUGGGAGAGGUGGGCUUGCCAUGCCACUGCCCCUGCUGAUUCUCCAUCCAGCUGCCGCCUCCUACUGCAGGGCACCGCCGCUCCUUUCUUGGGUCCUGGCAUGGCUCGUGGUAAUUAUCUCCCCUCCCCCACCCCCCACAGCUGACGACAUGUUUCCUGUGUGAGACUGUCUCCCGAGAAGCAGACACCAAGACAGGAUGAGAGAUGCACGGAUUUUAUUGGGAAAAACACCUGCAGGAGAAAACGGGUCUGCGCUGCCUCAGGUCUGAAAUGAUGUCUUCUCUGUCCUGUUUUCUGAGCGGCUCAUUCUGCUGUCAAAUAGGCCCUUUCCCCAGGACCCUUGGGGUCCAGUGUAGGGUCUGACCCGGCAGGACCUCAGCAAAGACUCGUGGCUGCUUGCAGAGUGGACACCUGCCGUCACGUUUUCCUGAGCAUUUCCCUAUAGCUGCCGGCGCACUGGGGAGCUCUAUUCAACCCACAACGGACUGCAGAUCUUUUGGCCGCUGCAUUCACAACUUUGUCCCGAGCCGCUCCGUGGAAGGCAUCCCGGAAGUCUAUCGGUCUUCCCACGAGCGUUCAAGACUCCCAGAUCCCCACGGGCCCUGAUACCAUCUCUGUCUGAGCAGCUGCCCGUGUGUGCGGGAGCACCCUGCCUGAGGCGGAGGGAGCACAGCAUCCGUUCGGAGGCAGGUUCCCAGGAAGCCCAUGACCGCUCAAGGUCCUCUCCUGACGAGGAUGCCACCUGAAACAGUCGGCUGCAGUCGCCGCCGUCCUCCGGCUCCCACUCUACUGGGGUCUCUCUGCUGACCCGGCUUCCCCAGCACCUCUGGUUCUUCCGGGCCCGAUGUCUCUCCACUGUCAUCCUCAGUGCCAGCCUGUCUCCCACGCCAGCUUGUAAACUCCAGGGUGGCGACUUUGUCUCAUUUUCUUUUGUGUUCUCAGCACCUGACCUGCGCAGCCCGGGAGGCAGCUGUGUGAGAGUGAGGUCUGCUCACGUGCCUACUCUGUGAUGAGGUGUCCUGCUCACCUGUGGGGUCAUGCAGGGCCGCUGCUCCCCUAAUGGGAUCCCAUAAACGGUGCAGAGGUUGUCUUGGGGCCCUGGCAGCCGCAAUGUGGUGCCUCCGCUGAGCGUCACCCAGAGGGCAGCAGUGAAGGAGGGGCCGAGCUCUCCACCUCCUGCUCCCCCUCCUCGCUCUCUGACUUUUCCUGCUGCCGUUCUCUUCCUGGGGCUGGGCCUGAAGCCUGAAACCCCGGCAUCAUUAUCCCUGCAAACUCAUCUCUGUAAACGCCCAGGCAGGCGUUCUCCCUCCUCCCACCCACGGACUCCCACUUAGUCCAGCUCUUACCUGGGUUCGUGCAGAAACUUCCUAACCGGUGUGUCCAGGAAGCACUUCAGAUGUUUUCUCUGCUGCUUCCGGUUAUCUUUUAGAUCAGAGAGGGGGGAGUCAGGCCCCAUUUAAACGUCUCCUGGAGCCGAGUGGGAGGGCAGCUCUUGGGCGUCGCCCGGGCUGUUGGUUGAGGGAGCAGGGAGGGGCAGAGACACGAUCUGGAGCCCGGGACUCAAACAUUGGGUCUAAAGAGCUAUGGAGGCCCUGACGGAGCAUGUGUUUAUGGGGGUUGAAUGCAGCCACGAUGCCACAUUAGAAAUCACCAACGAGAAACACUAGACAUUAGAAAUCACCAACGAGAAACACUAGACAUCAAAACUAAGAGCAUUUAAAAUACCCAUUAAUUCAUUAAAACAAUCAUAAACCUGUUAUAUGUCAACGUAAAUACCUUAGGACAAACAGCUAUAUUUUCCAAAACAAAAAGCAUUUAGGGGGCGGCGUGGCAUUGUCUUCGUGUCUGCAGAGCUCUCGAGUGUCUGACUCAGAAGGGUUGGAUGUUCCUGCCUGCUCCUGCAUUCCACCUGCUUGCAGAGCAAGGAGACAGUUCCGUGCGACACAGACAUGCAGCUGGCAAAGUGGGUCCCUCAGGGGGUUUCGGGGAUGCCAGGGUCCAGGAGCCUCGCUGAGAGCUUCCAAUAUGGUCUCGAAGGUGCUCAGCAGAGCCAGGGCAGUCAGGGAGCUGGGGAGCCGGACUUGGGGGCUGGGUGCCCCCUCCCUCAUCCAGAACAGCCCCAUUUGUAUCAGAUACAUGUCUCGGGCUCCGAGUCAAACGCUGUGUGUACAAUAAGGUGGACACGCCUGCUCUAGGGCCUGGGGCUACACUGGAAAGGUGAAGCUUUGGGAUGGGAUGGUGGAGGGAACCACUAGGGCCCUGGGAGAUAAGGGCAAGAGGCCUCAGGUGUGCCCAGGUGGAUGAGCCAGGGCGUCUGCAAUGCUGCUGGUCCGGUCCCAAAGCCAGCACAGAGGCCCUGCUACCUCCACCUGCUGACCCCAGCUGGACUCCAGGAAUCGCUCCUGGCAGCAGCAGGGAGUCCUGUGGAGCCAGGCCACAGAGCCACGUGGUGCAAGGGUGGCUGCUGCCAGGAGUGGAGAGGUGGCGUGCACACGGGUGACCUUGGGUGCACAGGCGCCGUGUGCACACACAAGAGAUGGUUGGCCCACGGGAUGUUGCUAUUCCUCCACCUCCCCAGCGCACUUGGUCCACAUACCUGCCCUGCCGCACCUGGUGCUACACCCUUGGGAGCACUGCCGAGGCCCAGAAGUCCUGGGCAUGAGUGUGGCCUCCUGACAGGUGGGGCUCUGGCUCUCAUCUGGGAGCACAGCAGAAGCUCUUGUCUGGGAGCAUGGCUGUCCAAGCCUGUGGAGAGUUGUCCUCCAGAGCCACCUCUUGCUGGAGGCAGAGCGCCUGCAGCAGGAUGUGGGCCUCACAUCUCAGGGCCUUGGCCUCCCUCGUGCUUACCCCUCCCACAGGCUCCUCUGCCCUUGCCGUCCUCACAUGGACCCUCUCCGAGAUCCCCGAGUGCGCAUCCCUUCAGGAGCCACUGGCACAGUGUCUGUUUUCUGCCUCGCUUUCCUCUCCAGGGUAUCCCCUGCUGCCCUGCAUGAGGCUUCUUUACCUGCUGUCUGUUCACCCCGAGGCGGGAGCUUCCUGAAAGCUGGAGCACUGACGGCGCGGUCCCUGCAGAGUCCCCAGCACCCAGUCAAGCCGCUGCGAGGAGGACUUGGGCCUCAGGAUGCACGUGCAGCCAUGGAGACCCCACGGGGCGGCCCUUCGGAUGAUCCUGGCCUUCUGGGUGGUCUCUGAGGGUUUGUUUCUUUCUGGGACUUUCUAACAGGAGGCCUUGCUCCUUGCCUCCGACUCAGCCGUGCCUGUGGCUUCCCCAGUGGGUCGGAAGUCACCGCUCAUCCGAUGCUCGGCGUCCUCCUCCCCAACCUGCACAGCCCCCGGGGCUCCAGAAAAUUCCGCCUCAGCCUGACAGGGCUCUCUCCAGGCUGGUGCGGGUGGGGAUAGGCCUGAGAAAGUCUUUUCCGGGUCACAGGCAGCCCUGAGCACACGCUGCGCAAUGCACCCACCUGACCCACUGACCUCGACCCUUGACCCCAACCCCUGACUCUGGGGACACGGGACGCUCCCUUCAGGAGGUCUGGCCUCACCUCACUGGCUAGUGGCCCCCAAAAGCAGGAGGAGCCAAUGUUCACUCCACAAAGCCCUAGGCCAGAGGCCAGGAAAGGCACCCAUAGGGCCUGGGGUGAGCAGGGAGAGGGGUAACUCCAUGGUGAGUUUGGGGAUUAACCACCCUCUCCGUGGUGGGUGUGGUGGCUGCCACAGUCCAAGCACAGGAAAGCAGGAGAGGGACGCCCGGCCCCUCAUCUGAGUGAGGCAGCCAGGGCCCGAACUGGAGCUGAGCCAGCAGCAGGAUCGCCCACCAACAGCAGAACCCUGAUCUCAGACUUGGACACCAAACCUCAAGGGCAACCCCCAGCCUUCCACCCUGUGUCUCCUCCCCACUCCGCUGGGCGGUCCCCCUUCCCUCCUUAUCCCUUCCCCUCCCCUCCCUGUCCCUUCCCCUCCCCCUCUUCCCCCAAAUCCCCUCCUCUGUCUCCUGCUCCUCCCAGAAGCCUCUUCUCACCCGAGGGCCCUCCUUCAGGCUCUUAGCCCCACAGCCCUCGCCAGAAGACCAUCCCUGGUUCAAGGCCAGCGCUGGAACACUGGGGUGCUCAAGGGCCCUGGGCCCUGGUGAGGGUGGUAUGUGCCAGCACACCCUGAGCCACCUGUGCAGAAUCUCCCCAACCUCUGGCCACUGAGUCUACCUGGCGUCCUCUGGGGAAGGUGCUGCUGCGUUCCAGGGGGUGCUGAGAGAAGGGAAGCCUCCGGGGCCCUCUGCCAUCAAGGUGCACAUGCAGAUUCCCUUAGUUGCACUGACUCCAACCUGAGCACCUACCCUCCCUCACCUGUACCAUGAGGUCCCGGAGGGCGGGGGCUGAGGGUCAUCCCUGUCCCUCCAGGAUCUGCGCUCAGUGCUGCGGGAGCAGGGAGAUUGCGCUCUCCCUUGCCAAUGCUUUUUGUUCUCUUCAGGCCCCCAACUGCUUGGAAGAGGCCCAGUCACACAGGGAGGGCCACCUGCUUUGCUCAGUCCACCGAUUCAAAUGCUAAUCUCAUCCAGACACACCCAGAAUAAUGUUUAACCAAAUAUCUGGGCACCCUGUGGCCCAGUCGAGCUGACAUGUUAGAAUGAACGCACACGCUGGUAAAGGCUGCCUGGGCUCCUCCCACUCGCGGGCAUCAGGCCUCGUGUGCUCGGUUUUACUGACUCCAUUUCACUGAUUUUACUGUCUCGAGGACAGUCCUCCGUGGAAGUUCUGUCACUAUGGGUUCUCCGUGAAAUUGCCAGCAUUUGGCCUGAGUGACCUCCUAGCUCUCUGCUAGCCAAUGCUGGUCCCACGGUGCCUCUGAGCAUGGCAGGCAUGGUGGGGCUGUCCCUCUGCAGCUGCCUGCCAGAGUGUCGGGUCUGAGAGGCCUCGGGCUGCAGGCUGGGAGACGUUGCAGGGAGCUUACCUCCGCUGAGCCUCACCCACAGGAUUCUUUGAUGGGACCCCACCUCCAUGGUCCCAGUUUUAAGGUCAUCUGAUUGUUUUUAUGACUUUACUUUCCCCAGAAAUUUGCUUCCAAGCAGGUCCAGCUGAAAUCAGCACCUUUUAAAAAAUCAAUCCAAAUGAAAAACGGUGUUUUAUUUUUUAGGUUUUACCACUUGCAAACCUGAGGCCACCCCCUGCUCUGUCCUUCUGGAUAUGCAACAGCGGAGCCAUGAGAUGGCCGCAGCGAAGGGGUCUCCGAAACGACCUAGUGAUCCAGGAGUUAAGAAGGAAUUACUUAGGCAGAUAGCAAGGGUAUGGGAGUCCUCCGUCAGGCUUUCCUUUUUAAUGAAAAGCAGUCCCAAAUCAUUUUUUAACAAAGAGCAGCCUGCGAGCUGGGAGCUUGCAUGGGUGAACGCCGGCCGGCACUAAAGACUAGACAUUUUCAUUUAUUUAUUUUUUUAUUUAGAGACAGAGUCUCGCUCUGUUGCCCAGGCUGGAGUUCAGUG